rfam:Schistosoma haematobium scaffold280_35, whole genome shotgun sequence.
AUCCAGCUGAAGAGCCUUAAACAGGACGAAACACGCGUCCCGAAU